GGAGAGAGAGGAGGAAGUGCAGAUAUGGAGAUGACAUGGGAUGACCAAGGAAGUAAGAACCUAGAAAGGUGGGAAGUGAUUGACCCCUCUUCAAGUUCUCCUUGGUGUGGAGGAAAGAAUUUCUUUUCUGAGAGAGGAAAGCAGUGUCUUUACGGCUUUCAGAUGAUUCUUUUGAGAUUUCAAAUAAAACACCUAGACAACCUAAAAGAGAAGUGAAAAAGAAAGAUGCAGUGCCAUGGUGGAUAACUGAAGAUGAUUUUGAAGAUGGUGGACUGCUUGGAACAAAUGUAAGCUAUCUGAAAGCAAAGAGGCCUUCUCAGCCUAUUACGGAAAUACAAGAGGAGUCUGCUGAAAGGAUUCAGUUUCUUCAGAGCAGUGGAACCUCUAUCUUAAGUAUUGACAGCUUAGAAACAAAUGAGAUAGUAGUUUCUGAACUCAAUCAUAGUGUUCUUGGAUUGGGAUUGGACACAUUAGAAGAACAAGAAGAAAAAGAGCAAUUUUUUGCCAGGCUUGAGGAAGGCUUAACAUCUUCCAUUGAUUAUUCAAGAUUAAAUAAGGAACUGGAUUCUAAUGACUCCACACAAUUUAAAGGUUUACAUAG